AUCAUCUGGGGAUCCUGUUAAAAUGCAGAUUCUAAUUCAGUAGGUUUGGAGUGGGGUUGGAGAUUCUGUGUUUCUAACAAGCUCCCAGUUGAUGCUGA
rnacentral:pre_miRNA from 1 species